rnacentral:rRNA from 1 species
GUAGGUGGCAAGCGUUGUCCGGAAUUAUUGGGCGUAAAGCGCGCGCAGGCGGUUCUUUAAGUCUGAUGUGAAAGCCCACGGCUCAACCGUGGAGGGUCAUUGGAAACUGGAGAACUUGAGUACAGAAGAGGAAAGCGGAAUUCCACGUGUAGCGGUGAAAUGCGUAGAGAUGUGGAGGAACACCAGUGGCGAAGGCGGCUUUCUGGUCUGUAACUGACGCUGAGGCGCGAAAGCGUGGGGAGCAAACAGGAUUAGAUACCCUGGUAGUCCACGCCGUAAACGAUGAGUGCUAAGUGUUAGGGGGUUUUCCGCCCCCCUUAGUGCUGCAGCUAACGCAUUAAGCACUCCGGCCUGGGAGUACGGCCGCAAGGCUG